GCAGGGGGACACCAACAACAUGAUUGACAGAUUCGAUGUCCGUGCCCACCUGGACCACAUCCCCGACUACACCCCCCCUCUGCUCACCACCAUGUAAGCCACCUCCCAGGGGGUUGCCAGGCACAGUGUCAUACCCAGGAGCCCCUGUUCUUUUCCCAGCCUGCCUGUCACCUUCCUAGGAGCCGAUCCUAUUUGGUACCGCCCUGAGCCUGAGGGGGAUGCCUCAUUUCCCUUCCUGCUGGCUUGGGGUGGGAUCCACUCCUUCUCUCUGAUUUCAAGGUCUCGCCCUUCCCUAAAGCUCCCCAGAACAGGAGUCGGACGAACGGAAGUGUAACUACGAGCGCUACAGAGGCCUGGUGCAGAACGACUUUGCCGGCAUCUCAGAGGAGCAGUGCCUGUACCAGAUCUACAUUGACGAGUUGUACGGAGGCCUCCAGAGACCCAGCGAAGAUGAGAAGAAGAAGCUGGCAGAGAAGAAGGCUUCCAUCGGUUAUACCUACGAGGACAGCACGGUGGCCGAGGUAGAGAAGGCGGCAGAAAAGCCAGAGGAGGAGGAGUCAGCAGCCGAGGAGGAGAGCAACUCGGACGAAGAUGAGGUCAUCCCCGACAUCGGUGGGGUCCCCUCUCUGCCCUCCCCACCUGCAGUCCCUGGGCAUCGUUUCUGUGUCUCGUCCCUCACCCUCUGUGGGGCACCCCGUGCUUACGAACCGUGUCUCUCUCCCUCCCCGGCCCCAGGGCACACCAGCCUCCUGCUGCCCCUGUCUCACUCCUAUCCUCCUCCGUUCCGGCCUUCCUCUGCCUCACUCAUCUCUCAUUUCUAGGCUGCUAUUUCUAUGAUCUUUUCCCCUCCUAGGUGUUGGCUCCAUUCUCCUCCACUUGGGCCGGCCUCUCUCUGCCUUUGCCCCUCUCUCCUGCUCUCUUCCCUCCUCUGGAAAAGAAGUAUUCAUCCUCUUACAGAGUCAGCCCC
rnacentral:sRNA from 1 species